rnacentral:rRNA from 1 species
GCAUAUCAAUAAGCGGAGGAAAAGAAACUAACAAGGAUUCCCCUAGUAACGGCGAGUGAAGCGGGAAAAGCUCAAAUUUUAAAUCUGGUAGGACUCCCUAUCCGAGUUGUAGUUUCAAGAGACGUUUUCGGUUCGCGCCUGGGUAUAAGUCCUUUGGAACAGGGCAUCAUAGAGGGUGAGAAUCCCGUUUAUGACCCGGAGCGGCGGACUAUGUGAUACGUUUUCAAAGAGUCAGGUUGUUUGGGAAUGCAGCCUAAAAUGGGUGGUAAAUUUCAUCUAAAGCUAAAUAUUGGCGAGAGACCGAUAGCGAACAAGUACCGUGAGGGAAAGAUGAAAAGAACUUUGAAAAGAGAGUUAAACAGUACGUGAAAUUGUUGAAAGGGAAACGUUUGAAAUCAGUCAUGUAGGCGAGUAAUCAGCUUGGCUUUUUGCCUUGUGCACUUUCUCGUUCGCAGGUCAGCGUCAGUUUUGAUACAGUCGGAUAAAAGCCAAGGGAAUGUGGCCUCUCUCGGGGGGUGUUAUAGCCCUGGUUAAUACGAUGGUUAAGACUGAGGUCUGCAGCCAAUACUCUUUAUUGGGUUGGGUGUUAUUUUAGCUCGUAGGUAACCGAGUCUAGACAGCUUGCUGACUAGGUCCGUCUUAUUUGCGACUUGAAGUUUUUCUACCACAAAUUGGCUUAGGUCGCUGACUUAAUGGUUUUAAAUGACCCGUCUUGAAACACGGACCAAGGAGUCUAACAUAUAUGCGAGUGUUUGGGUGGCAAACCCAUUCGCGUAAUGAAAGUGAAUGUAGGUGAGAUCCCUUUUUUUUAUUUAAGAGGUGAGCAUCAUCGAACCGAU